GACUGUGUGGAUCAUAACAAAUUAUGGAUAACAUUGCAAAGAAUAGGAAUUCCAGAACACUUAAUUGUGUUCAUGAAGAACCUGUAUAUAGCCCAAGAGGCAAUCAUUUGGAAAAAAACAAGGGGAUACUGCCUGGUUUAAAGUCAGGAAAGGUGCACGUCAAGGCUAUAUCUUUUCACCAUACUUAUUCAAUCUGUAUGCCGAGCAAGUAAUCUGAGAAGCUGGACUACAUGAAGAAGAACGUGGAUCUGACUUGCUGAUGCUGUUAAACACAAGAUAUGAACCCUCCUCUACCCAGCGGAGAUCUGAUAUCCUGACUCCGGUUAGUCUCAGAGUGAAGAGCGGGACCUCAUCGAUGUCAAAAAGGUCACAUUGGUAGCUGAAACAUCUAAAAAUUGAAGCUUGACAAGUGGAUGAAAGCAGCCCAGAGACUAAAUGGACUGAUUGAUGUCACUCAUGGUACAGGAAAAUCUUGAAGAACUGCAUCAUGGAUGUAUGUAAUGUUAAGAACUCAUAUGUGUACAUAAACCCUUUAAUUCCAAAGAAGUGAUGCUAAGGCUAAGCCUUUAGGAACUUUGAGCUUAUUUUUUCUCUCCAUGUCUCAUUUGGUAAAUCUCUUGCUACUCUAAUAUGAGGACUAAUUUCUUCCCCUAGGAUAAAGCAUUAAUUAAAUGACUUAGGAAACUGUUUUUAUCAAAGAAUAGAGGCUCUGAUCUCAGUUUUUGCUCCAUUAACUUUAAAGUUCAAUACAUUUUUAUUGAACCCACACACACUUUAAAUAUGAAUUGCUUUUCACUAAUUGGUCUAUAGGGACCACAGUGACUGUUUUGGUCUUCUUCUUUGGCUUUUUUUUGCUUUUCCUUAAAAAAAAAGUUCCUAAACUUUAUUAAUAUUCAUUAAAUCAAGAAAUGAUUGCUGGAAUCAAGGAAUAAAAAUCAAUGGAGAGAGAUGACAAGUUCUGGUUUGAUCUCU